ACAGAGUUUUAAGUGAUUUUGGUGGCUCUGUGCUCUUCUAUAAACCAUGGGUAAAAAGAAGGGGAAAGACAGAAGUCCUCGAGCAGACAGCAGCACUGAGACAGCAGGGGCUUACUGCACUCACAUCCGUAAAUGAAC